rnacentral:rRNA from 1 species
UACGGGGGGGGGCAAGCGUUGUUCGGAAUUACUGGGCGUAAAGGGCUCGUAGGCGGCCAACUAAGUCCGACGUGAAAUCCCCAGGCUUAACCUGGGAACUGCGUCGGAUACUGGAUGGCUUGAAUCCGGGAGAGGGAUGCGGAAUUCCAGGUGUAGCGGUGAAAUGCGUAGAUAUCUGGAGGAACACCGGUGGCGAAGGCGGCAUCCUGGACCGGCAUUGACGGCUGAGGAGCGAAGCCAGGGGAGCAAACGGGG